rnacentral:ncRNA from 1 species
UUUAUGAAGAGCGGCUGAGGGAACGGCCCUGUGAAGCCCGGCAACCUGCGAGAGCAAGGUGCCAAGUCCGACGGCGGCAACGCCGAAAGAUAAGG